CGAUGGCAAGUAUAAGUAACUAACAGUACGUACGCGUCUUCGGGCGCUGCAUGGCGGCCCUUAUAUACUUUGAUAUUGCUACUUCUUCAACUCCUGUUCGUUUAUUAAAGCGGAUUUUUAACCUUACAUGUGGCUUAGAAGUACUUAUGCAAAAGUUUUUUAUCUUAUCUUUCACAUAAAAAAAGAUUUAUAUUCCAACAGUCUUUCUACAAUGAGUUAUAAAUAAAUGAAAUUUGCGAGUUUAUUUUCGCUUCGCUUGCUGCGGUCUUCGUCUCCCGAUAUUUUUCAGCCUUCCGGUCACGUGACUUCCGCUUAUAAAGUAAGGCUAGGUAUACGUAUACGUACGAUAUAUACAUCACUAUGUAGUCAUCAGAGAAGAGAGAACCGGUCUUCUGCUAUUUAAAAUUUUUUUUAAUAUAAACAAAUCUAUGUUGAAUCAAUCAAUUAUAAUUUGUGAGUGAAAAAGUUAAUACUUUUAACCAAGAUACUAUACUAGCAUCACAAUUACCACUUUUGGAGUGCGAUUUGCUGCAUGGAGUUACUACUUGGAGUGCGAACUGCUUCAUGGAGUUUCAGUGCGACAAACUCCAUCAUUUUCAGCAGUCAAUCAAAUUAACGGGUUAAAUGAGAAUGGUGACUGGUUAAGAGGCAUCAUCGUAAGAACAAUAACUGGCUGUUUUACUAUGCUCUCAACUAUGCUGCUGUUGCUACUGGCUUUACUUUUCCACACAUUUGGUUUAAUCAAAUAGGGCAAGGACAAGGUUCAUAGACGAGACAGCAUCCAUAAAGUAGAUACGGAGGAUAAUGAUAACCAGUCAAUAAGAGUCACGAGAGGUCUACAAGAGGACAUUUGUAAACAUUGGUAAACCAUAUAACAGUUGUGCACUUGCAGCAGCAGGAUCAUAUUUUUCUCAGUUUAAUCACUUCAUCUUACAUACUAUGUAUCUUAAUUCUUACGGUUAAUUUAUCAACAGCAUACAUUGUCAAAAUCCAAGAGAGUUCGUUCUCCAGUGCUUAGUUCUUCAUUUCAAACUUUUAAUUUCAAAAAGGUUGCUGCUUAACGUGCUACUACAUAAGCCUGAUAAAUUCAUGCUGGUAGCAAUUUUUCCUAUAGAAAAUUUAGGUGUGGAACUGUGAUGUACUACCUAUCUACUACUGGAAGUAGUGCAAACUUUUAUCUGAUUCGUAAUUUCAGUACUGGGAACAAAUUGAAAGUUUUAAUUCAAAGUGCUAAAACUUUUGGAAUCAGCUGGACUGCAAAAAAUUCUACAGAAUAAGAUCAAUUUGAGGAUAAGAAGGAGCCAAAUAUUCCAUUACAAGGUUGGUUUUUGCAUAGAUUUUUCUUGGAUAAACUAGUGAACGAAUCACAAUAGUUAUCGAUUGCUUUAUAAUUGGUAUCAUCUUAUAACUAUUCAAAGUGACAUCGGAUCUUAAGUCUGUAUGGAAACAUUUAACCUACAAAAUUUAUAGGACUUCAAUAUUUUUUACCAGCAAAAGGAAGUCUUUAGCAAGGAGUUAUCAUUGUAAACUUAUCCAGACAAAAAAAUUGACAAUUAUGUACAACUAUUAUUACUUGAAUUUGAAACUCUCUACCCUUCUGAUGCUGUACCUUCCAGGCGCCUUAAAACUAGUAAAGCUACUGAUAUCAUUGUGUGUGCAUUCUCAAAUAUCUUGAGAAACUUGGAUCAAGCUAACCAGUGUUUUUGAGUAAGCUCGAGAUCCUUACAAAAUUAAGUCAAUGCCAAAAUAUUACAAACUAUCAGGAAUGAAAAUAAAAACUCAAUUCAAGAAUGAACAUAUGGAUUUAUUCAAAGUAUGAGGAUGCUAUACAUAAAAUAUAAGAAUAAUAUAAAAUAAUUCAAGAAGUCAGCGAGAGCUGUUAUAAACUAUCAGCAUUUAAUAAAAUUAAAAGUUGAAUCUGUUAAUGAAUUAUAUUCCGUACAAAUAGCAAAAUUAUCAAUUAAUUUAUAUGAAAAAUUUCUUUGUAAAUAAAAUAAAAAUUUGAAAUGAUAUAA